CUGGGGAUCCAGGGAAGAGAAGGCCCGUCAUCCUCACACAAUGGCCCCAGUGUCCCAGCUGCCAAACUGGGAUGGAAAACCGGGGGCGAAGGUAGCGGAGGAGCAAAGUGCUGGAGGCAGUUAGUAGGAGGAUGACCAUGGAGAAGAAAAUGAAUGGAAUGAAAAAAGUGUGGAGGGUGUCGCCCAUCUUCCCCACUUAUCCCCUGGGUAUUUAUACCUGUGUUUUCUGUCAGUCUGUGCCAGUUUGUCUUGUUUGUUCAAGUCAACUAGUGGUUUGUCGCUGCACCUUGGUUUCCACAGUAUCGCUUUCUCUCGACCUCCUGGUUUUUGACCCUUGCCUUGCCUGUCCUGACCCUGUACCCGCCCUCCUGACCACUUUGCCUGAGCCUGCCUGCCGUUCCUGUACCUUUGCUCCACUUCUGGAUCACCGACCUCUACCUUCCUGCCGUCCUGUACCUUGUCCUCUGCUCUGGAUUAUCGACCCCUACCUACCUGUCGUUUGCCUGCCCCUGUGGUUACAAUAAACAUUGUUACUUCA